GUGCCAGCAGCCGCGGUAAUACGGAGGGUGCGAGCGUUGUCCGGAAUCACUGGGCGUAAAGGGCGCGUAGGCGGUCUGCUAAGCGUGCGGUGAAAGCCUGGGGCUCAACCCCAGGUCUGCCGUGCGAACUGGUGGACUGGAGCACUGUAGAGGCAGGUGGAAUUCCGGGUGUAGCGGUGGAAUGCGUAGAGAUCCGGAAGAACACCGGUGGCGAAGGCGGCCUGCUGGGCAGUUGCUGACGCUGAUGCGCGACAGCGUGGGGAGCAAACAGGAUUAGAAACCCGCGUAGUCC
rnacentral:rRNA from 1 species